rfam:Gasterosteus aculeatus cont1.007473, whole genome shotgun sequence.
GUCGGAUACGGAGACAUGCACCCGGUGACCAUUGGUGGGAAAGUCGUGGGUUCGCUGUGCGCAAUAGCGGGCGUGCUGACCAUUGCGUUACCCGUGCCGGUGAUCGUGUCCAAC